UCGCCAAAACAAGCGCACAGAUGGUCGUU
rnacentral:sRNA from 1 species